UAAGGUCUAAUCUGCCCGCUGAGUAUUAAUUGAAUGGCYGCAGUAUUUUAACUGUGCAAAGGUAGCAUAAUCACUAGUCUUUUAAUUGAGGACUUGUAUGAAUGAUUGGACGAGAUAUAUGCUGUGUCAAAGUGUAAAAUAGAAUUUUAUUUUUUAGUUAAAAAGCUAAAAUUUUAAUUAAAGACGAGAAGACCCUAUAGAUCUUUAUAUAUUAAUUUAUUUUGAAUAUUUGGUUUAAUUUGUUUUASAUAAAUUAAUUUAUUUUGUUGGGGUGACAUUAAGAUUAAUAUAACUCUUGAUUUUUUAUUACAUUGAUUUUUGGAUGUAUUAUAUUUGAUCCUUUAUUAUGGAUUGUAAAAUUAAGUUACCUUAGGGAUAACAGCAUAAUUUUUCUGGAGAGUUCUUAUCGAUAGAAAAGAUUGUGACCUCGAUGUUGGAUUAAGAUUAAAAUUGGGGGUAGAAUUUCAAUGUUUUAAGUCUGUUCGACUUUUAAAAUCUUACAUGAUCUGAGUUCAAACCGGCGUGAGCCAGGUUGGUUUCUAUCUUUAUUAAAUUAGAGUAUUUUAGUACGAAAGGACCAGAUACUUAAAUUAUUAAUUUUUUAUAUGAAUUAUAUUAAUUU
rnacentral:rRNA from 1 species